rnacentral:piRNA from 1 species
UGGCUCUGUUCAAAGGUGAUGAACUUUCC